AUACGUAGGUGACAAGCGUUAUCCGGAUUUACUGGGCGUAAAGGGCGUGUAGGCGGUCUUGCAAGUCAGAAGUGAAAUUCCUGAGCUCAACUCGGGCGCUGCUUCUGAAACUGCAGGACUUGAGUGCUGGAGGGGAUAGCGGAAUUCCUAGUGGAGCGGUAAAAUGCGCAGAUAUUAGGAAGAACACCGGUGGCGAAGGCGGCUAUCUGGACAGUAACUGACGCGGAGGCGCGAAAGCGUGGGGAGCAAACAGGAUUAGAUACCCGGUUAGUCCACGCCGUAAACGAUGAAUACUAGGUGUAGGGGGUAUCGACUCCCUCUGUGCCGCAGUUAACACAAUAAGUAUUCCGCCUGGGGAGUACGGCCGCAAGGUUGAAACUCAAAGGAAUUGACGGGG
rnacentral:rRNA from 1 species